rnacentral:rRNA from 1 species
AGGCGUCACACCUUUUAAUCUUCUUAAGACGAGGAGAACGACUGGAAACGGUCGCUAAAACUGGAUAGGAUCAUUUGAGGCAUCUCGGAUGAUUUAAGGGGGCUUUCAAGCCACACUUAUAGAAAGGCCUGCGGCGCAUUAUCUAGUUGGUGGUGUAGAGGACUACCAAGGCGAUGAUGCGUAUCCGGACUGAGAGGUCGAACGGCCACAUUGGGACUGAGACACGGCCCAAACUCCUACGGGAGGCAGCAGUAGGGAAUUUUCGGCAAUGGGGGAAACCCUGACCGAGCAACGCCGCGUGAAUGAAGAAGUAUUUCGGUAUGUAAAGUUCUUUUAUUGAGGAAGAAUGGGUUGGGAAGGAAAUGACCUGACCGUGACGGUACUCAAUGAAUAAGCCCCGGCUAACUAUGUGCCAGCAGCCGCGGUAAUACAUAGGGGGCAAGCGUUAUCCGGAAUUAUUGGGCGUAAAGGGUGCGUAAGCGGUCUGUUAAGUCUAAGGUGUAAGUGCAAGGCUCAACCUUGUGAUGCUUUUAUAAACUGGUGGACUAGAUAUAGAUAGAGGCAAGUGGAAUUCCAUGUGUAGCGGUAAAUGCGUUAAUAUAUGGAGGAACACCAGUGGCGAAGCGGCUUGCUGGGUCUAUACUGACGCUGAGGCACGAAAGCGUGGGGAGCAACAGAUUAAUACUCUGUAGUCACGCCGUUUACGAUGAGUACUAAGUGUUUGGGGGAACCAUGCUGUAGUUAAAAUUUAGUACUCGCCUGAAUAGUACGUACGCAGUAUGAACCUCAAGGAAUGCCGGGAACCCGCCCCAGCGUUGCA